GCUUAUUGACUCUAAUUAAUGAGGUCCUCCAAUGGGGCUAAUGAGGUCCUCCAAUGAGGUCCUCCAAUGAGGUCCUCCAAUGAGGUCCUCCAACAGGUCCUGGCAGGUCACUAAUGAGCCUAAUGACUCUACUUAAUGAGGUCCUCCAAUGAGGUCAUUAAUGAGCCUAAUGAGGUCCUCCAAUAGGUCCUGGCAGCUCACUAAUGAACCUACUUAAUGAGGUCCUCCAAUGAGGUCCUCCAACAGGUCCUGGCAGGUCGCUAAUGAGCCUAAUGACUCUGCUUAAUGAGGUCCUCCAAUGAGGUCCUCCAACAGGUCCUGGCAGGUCGCUAAUGAGCCUAAUGACUCUAAUUAAUGAGGUCCUCCAAUGAGGUCCUCCAACAGGUCCUGGCAGGUCGCUAAUGAGCCUAAUGACUCUAAUUAAUGAGGUCCUCCAAUGAGGUCCUCCAACAGGUCCUGGCAGGUCGCUAAUGAGCCUAAUGACUCUAAUUAAUGAGGUCCUCCAAUGAGGUCCUCCAACAGGUCCUGGCAGGUCGCUAAUGAGCCUAAUGACUCUAAUUAAUGAGGUCCUCCAAUGAGGUCCUCCAACAGGUCCUGGCAGGUCGCUAAUGAGCCUAAUGACUCUAAUUAAUGAGGUCCUCCAAUGAGGUCCUCC